rnacentral:rRNA from 1 species
UACGUAGGGUGCGAGCGUUAAUCGGAAUUACUGGGCGUAAAGCGUGCGCAGGCGGUUCGUUAAGUUCGUUGUGAAAGCCCCGGGCUCAACCUGGGAACUGCAAUGGAAACUGGCGGGCUUGAGUGUGGCAGAGGGGGGUGGGAAUUCCGCGUGUAGCAGUGAAAUGCGUAGAGAUGCGGAGGAACACCGAUGGCGAAGGCAGCCCCCUGGGCCAACACUGACGCUCAGGCACGAAAGCGUGGGGAGCAAACAGG